AGAGUUUGAUCCUGGCUCAGGAUGAACGCUAGCGGCAGGCCUAAUACAUGCAAGUCGAACGAGAUUAAGAGGCUUGCUUCUUAUGAAAGUGGCGCACGGGUGCGUAACGCGUAUGCAACCUACCUUAAUCAGGGGGAUAGCCCGAAGAAAUUCGGAUUAAGACCGCAUAAAAACACAGGAUAGCAUUAUCCAAUGUUCAAAUAUUUAUAGGAUUAAGAUGGGCAUGCGUGUCAUUAGCUAGUUGGCGGGGUAACGGCCCACCAAGGCGACGAUGACUAGGGGAUCUGAGAGGAUGACCCCCCACACUGGUACUGAGACACGGACCAGACUCCUACGGGAGGCAGCAGUAAGGAAUAUUGGUCAAUGGAGGGAACUCUGAACCAGCCAUGCCGCGUGCAGGAAGACAGCCCUCUGGGUCGUAAACUGCUUUUAUUCGGGAAUAAACCUUUCUACGUGUAGGAAGCUGAAUGUACCGAAGGAAUAAGGAUCGGCUAACUCCGUGCCAGCAGCCGCGGUAAUACGGAGGAUCCAAGCGUUAUCCGGAUUUAUUGGGUUUAAAGGGUGCGUAGGCGGCUUAUUAAGUCAGGGGUGAAAGACGGUGGCUCAACCAUCGCAGUGCCCUUGAUACUGAUGAGCUUGAAUACACUAGAGGUAGGCGGAAUGUGACAAGUAGCGGUGAAAUGCAUAGAUAUGUCACAGAACACCGAUUGCGAAGGCAGCUUACUAUGGUGUUAUUGACGCUGAGGCACGAAAGCGUGGGGAUCAAACAGGAUUAGAUACCCUGGUAGUCCACGCCCUAAACGAUGAAUACUCGCUGUUAGCGAUAUACAGUUAGCGGCUAAGCGAAAGCGUUAAGUAUUCCACCUGGGGAGUACGCCCGCAAGGGUGAAACUCAAAGGAAUUGACGGGGGCCCGCACAAGCGGAGGAGCAUGUGGUUUAAUUCGAUGAUACGCGAGGAACCUUACCCGGGCUUGAAAGUUAGUGAAUGAUCUAGAGAUAGAUCAGUGAGCAAUCACACGAAACUAGGUGCUGCAUGGCUGUCGUCAGCUCGUGCCGUGAGGUGUUGGGUUAAGUCCCGCAACGAGCGCAACCCCUAUGUUUAGUUGCCAGCACGUUAAGGUGGGGACUCUAAACAGACUGCCUGUGCAAACAGAGAGGAAGGAGGGGACGACGUCAAGUCAUCAUGGCCCUUACGUCCGGGGCUACACACGUGCUACAAUGGAUGGUACAGAGGGCAGCAAGCUGGCAACAGCAAGCGAAUCUCAAAAAGCCAUUCACAGUUCGGAUAGAGGUCUGCAACUCGACCUCUUGAAGUUGGAUUCGCUAGUAAUCGCGUAUCAGCAAUGACGCGGUGAAUACGUUCCCGGGCCUUGUACACACCGCCCGUCAAGCCAUGGAAGUUGGGGGUACCUAAAGUAUGUAACCGUAAGGAGCGUCCUAGGGUAAAACCGAUAACUGGGGCUAAGUCGUAACAAGGUAGCCG
rnacentral:rRNA from 1 species